rnacentral:rRNA from 1 species
CGUAUCACUUAAAGCGAUUCAGCGGGUUACGAUUGACGGAGCGAAGCGACGUCAAAGCGUAUACAAAGUCGAGUCGGUUUAAGGAUACGUUCGUUGGGUAGGGGAGCGUUCUGUAAGCCUGUGAAGGUGGCCUGUGAGGGUUGCUGGAGGUAUCAGAAGUGCGAAUGCUGACAUAAGUAACGAUAAAGCGGGUGAAAAGCCCGCUCGCCGGAAGACCAAGGGUUCCUGUCCAACGUUAAUCGGGGCAGGGUGAGUCGACCCCUAAGGCGAGGCCGAAAGGCGUAGUCGAUGGGAAACAGGUUAAUAUUCCUGUACUUGGUGUUACUGCGAAGGGGGGACGGAGAAGGCUAUGUUGGCCGGGCGACGGUUGUCCCGGUUUAAGCGUGUAGGCUGGUUUUCCAGGCAAAUCCGGAAAAUCAAGGCUGAGGCGUGAUGACGAGGCACUACGGUGCUGAAGCAACAAAUGCCCUGCUUCCAGGAAAAGCCUCUAAGCAUCAGGUAACAUCAAAUCGUACCCCAAACCGACACAGGUGGUCAGGUAGAGAAUACCAAGGCGCUUGAGAGAACUCGGGUGAAGGAACUAGGCAAAAUGGUGCCGUAACUUCGGGAGAAGGCACGCUGACACGUAGGUGAAGUGAUUUACUCACGGAGCUGAAGUCAGUCGAAGAUACCAGCUGGCUGCAACUGUUUAUUAAAAACACAGCACUGUGCAAACACGAAAGUGGACGUAUACGGUGUGACGCCUGCCCGGUGCCGGAAGGUUAAUUGAUGGGGUCAGCGCAAGCGAAGCUCCUGAUCGAAGCCCCGGUAAACGGCGGCCGUAACUAUAACGGUCCUAAGGUAGCGAAAUUCCUUGUCGGGUAAGUUCCGACCUGCACGAAUGGCGUAAUGAUGGCCAGGCUGUCUCCACCCGAGACUCAGUGAAAUUGAACUCGCUGUGAAGAUGCAGUGUACCCGCGGCAAGACGGAAAGACCCCGUGAACCUUUACUAUAGCUUGACACUGAACAUUGAGCCUUGAUGUGUAGGAUAGGUGGGAGGCUUUGAAGUGUGGACGCCAGUCUGCAUGGAGCCGACCUUGAAAUACCACCCUUUAAUGUUUGAUGUUCUAACGUGGACCCGUAAUCCGGGUUGCGGACAGUGUCUGGUGGGUAGUUUGACUGGGGCGGUCUCCUCCUAAAGAGUAACGGAGGAGCACGAAGGUUGGCUAAUCCUGGUCGGACAUCAGGAGGUUAGUGCAAUGGCAUAAGCCAGCUUGACUGCGAGCGUGACGGCGCGAGCAGGUGCGAAAGCAGGUCAUAGUGAUCCGGUGGUUCUGAAUGGAAGGGCCAUCGCUCAACGGAUAAAAGGUACUCCGGGGAUAACAGGCUGAUACCGCCCAAGAGUUCAUAUCGACGGCGGUGUUUGGCACCUCGAUGUCGGCUCAUCACAUCCUGGGGCUGAAGUAGGUCCCAAGGGUAUGGCUGUUCGCCAUUUAAAGUGGUACGCGAGCUGGGUUUAGAACGUCGUGAGACAGUUCGGUCCCUAUCUGCCGUGGGCGCUGGAGAACUGAGGGGGGCUGCUCCUAGUACGAGAGGACCGGAGUGGACGCAUCACUGGUGUUCGGGUUGUCAUGCCAAUGGCACUGCCCGGUAGCUAAAUGCGGAAGAGAUAAGUGCUGAAAGCAUCUAAGCACGAAACUUGCCCCGAGAUGAGUUCUCCCUGAGACUUUAGGUCUCCUGAAGGAACGUUGAAGACGACGACGUUGAUAGGUCGGGUGUGUAAGUGUAGCGAUACAUUGAGCUAACCGAUACUAAUGAACCGUGAGGCUUAACCUUACAACGCCGAAG